rnacentral:rRNA from 1 species
GACGAACGCUGGCGGCGUGCCUAAUACAUGCAAGUCGAACGCAGUGGGGACGGGUGAGUAACACGUGGGUAACCUCCCCUCAGAGGGGAUACCACUUGGAAACAGGUGCUAAACCGAUACUGAUGGAUGGACCCGCGGUGCAUUAGCUAGUUGGUGAGGUAACGGCUCACCAAGGCAACGAGGCAUAGCCGACCUGAGAGGGGGAUCGGCCACACGGGGACUGAGACACGGCCCAGACUCCUACGGGAGGCAGCAGUGGGUAAUCGUCGGCAAUGGACGAAAGUCUGACCGAGCAACGCCGCGUGAGUGAAGAAUGUUUUCGGAUCGGAAAACUCUGUUGUUAGAGAAGCGGUAUCUAACCAGAAAGUCACGGCUAACUACGUGCCAGCCGCCGCGGUAAUUC